GAUGAAGAACGCAGCGAAAUGCGAUAAGUAAUGCGAAUUGCAGAAUCCGUGAGUCAUCGAAUCUUUGAACGCACAUUGCGCCCCCUGGUAUUCCGGGGGGCAUGCCUGUCCGAGCGUCAUUGCUGCCCUCAAGCACGGCUUGUGUGUUGGGCCCCGUCCUCCGAUCCCGGGGGACGGGCCCGAAAGGCAGCGGCGGCACCGCGUCCGGUCCUCGAGCGUAUGGGGCUUUGUCACCCGCUCUGUAGGCCCGGCCGGCGCUUGCCGAUCAACCCAAAUUUUUUAUCCAGGUUGACCUCGGAUCAGGUAGGGAUACCCGCUGAACUUAAGCAUAUCAAUAAGCGGAGGA
rnacentral:misc_RNA from 1 species